rnacentral:tRNA from 1 species
GGAAGUGGUUAGGUCCUGGUGGGCCUCCUGGACUUCAAAUCCAGUGGCGGGCAGAAGAUGUCCGUGGUGGGUUCGAUUCCCAUGCACUUCCGCCA